UACGAAGGGGGCUAGCGUUGUUCGGAAUUACUGGGCGUAAAGCGCACGUAGGCGGAAUGUUAAGUCAGGGGGUGAAAUCCCGGGGCUCAACCCCGGAACUGCCAUUGAUACUGGCAUUCUCGAGUCCGGAAGAGGUGAGUGGAAUUCCGAGUGUAGAGGUGAAAAUUCGUAGAUAUUCGGAGGAACACCAGUGGCGAAGGCGGCUCACUGGUCCGGUACUGACGCUGAGGUGCGAAAGCGUGGGGAGCAAACAGG
rnacentral:rRNA from 1 species